UCUCCGUAGGUGAACUUGCGGAGGGAUCAUUACUGAGUGAGGGCCUUCGGGCUCGACUUCCAACCCUUUGUGAACACAACUUGUUGCUUCGGGGGCGACCCUGCCGUUUCGACGGCGAGCGCCCCCGGAGGCCUUCAAACACUGCAUCUUUGCGUCGGAGUCUUAAAGAAAUUUAAACAAAACUUUCAACGACGGAUCUCUUGGUUCUGGCAUCGAUGAAGAACGCAGC
rnacentral:misc_RNA from 1 species